CAAAGGUUUGGUCCUAACUUUUAUGUCGGCUGCAGCCAUAUUUACACAUGUAAGUUUCCGCAACCCCGUGAGAAUGCCCGAACAUCCCCCUGUAUGGGGGAAAGGAGCAGGUAUCAGGCACACCUUAAUUUUACCCCACCCGCCCAAGACACCUUGCUAAGCCACACCCUCAAGGGAAUUCAACAGUGAUAAAUAUUAAGCAAUAAGUGUAAACUUGACUUAGUUAAGGCUGAUGAGGGUCGGUAAAACUCGUGCCAGCCACCGCGGUUAGACGAGAGACCCAAGUUGACGAGCCCCCGGCGUAAAGAGUGGUUAAACUUUAUUGACCUAAAGCCGAACAUCCCCUAAGCAGUUAUACGUAUUCGGGGGUAAGAAAACCUCCUACGAAAGUAGCUUUAUUCAGUUGAUGCCACGAAGGUUGGGAAACAAACUGGGAUUAGAUACCCCACUAUG
rnacentral:rRNA from 1 species